rnacentral:rRNA from 1 species
UACGGAGGGGGCUAGCGUUGUUCGGAAUUACUGGGCGUAAAGCGCACGUAGGCGGCUUUGUAAGUUAGAGGUGAAAGCCCGGGGCUCAACCCCGGAAUUGCCUUUAAGACUGCAUCGCUAGAAUUGUGGAGAGGUAAGUGGAAUUCCGAGUGUAGAGGUGAAAUUCGUAGAUAUUCGGAAGAACACCAGUGGCGAAGGCGACUUACUGGACA